rnacentral:rRNA from 1 species
UACGUAGGCAGCAAGCGUUGUUCGGAAUUACUGGGCGUAAAGAGUGUGUAGGCGGUGCCCUAAGUUUGGUGUGAAAUCUCCCGGCUCAACUGGGAGGGUGCAUCGAAAACUGGGGUGCUCGAGGGUGGGAGAGGUAAGCGGAAUUCCUGGUGUAGCGGUGAAAUGCGUAGAUAUCGUAAGGAAGACCAGUGGCGAAGGCGGGUCUCUGGACAGUUCCUGACGCUGAGGCACGAAGGCCAGGGGAGCAAACGGG